rnacentral:rRNA from 1 species
CCGGCACGGGUGAGUAACACGUAUCCAACCUGCCGUCUACUCUUGGACAGCCUUCUGAAAGGAAGAUUAAUACAAGAUGGCAUCAUGAGUCCGCAUGUUCACAUGAUUAAAGGUAUUCCGGUAGACGAUGGGGAUGCGUCCAUUAGAUAGUAGGCGGGGUAACGGCCCACCUAGUCUUCGAUGGAUAGGGGUUCUGAGAGGAAGGUCCCCCACAUUGGAACUGAGACACGGUCCAA